GUCAGUGUCUUUAACAGUGAGGGUCCACCCGUUCCCAUUCCGAACACGGAAGUUAAGCUCAUUUGUGCUCAAAAUACUUGGCGGGAAGCUGCCCGGGAAAAUAGGUCGAUGCUGACA
rfam:Clostridiales bacterium GWF2_38_85 gwf2_scaffold_205, whole genome shotgun sequence.